AUUGAACGCUGGCGGCAGGCUUAACACAUGCACGUCGAGCGGUGUGAUGGUGCUUGCACUAUCACUUAGCGGCGGACGGGUGAGUAAUGCUUAGGAAUCUGCCUAUUAGUGGGGGACAACAUCUCGAAAGGGAUGCUAAUACCGCAUACGUCCUACGGGAGAAAGCAGGGGAUCACUUGUGACCUUGCGCUAAUAGAUGAGCCUAAGCCGGAUUAGCUAGUUGGUGGGGUAAAGGCCUACCAAGGCGACGAUCUGUAGCGGGUCUGAGAGGAUGGUCCGCCACACUGGGACUGAGACACGGCCCAGACUCCUACGGGAGGCAGCAGUGGGGAAUAUUGGACAAUGGGGGGAACCCUGAUCCAGCCAUGCCGCGUGUGUGAAGAAGGCCUUAUGGUUGUAAAGCACUUUAAGCGAGGAGGAGGCUCUUUUGGUUAAUACCCAAGAUGAGUGGACGUUACUCGCAGAAUAAGCACCGGCUAACUCUGUGCCAGCCGCCGCCGUAA
rnacentral:rRNA from 1 species